rnacentral:rRNA from 1 species
CGCGUAGGCGGUCUGCUAAGUUGGGUGUGAAAACUCUGGGCUUAACCCAGAGCCUGCAUUCAAAACUGACAGGCUAGAGUUCUGGAGGGGGAAGCGGAAUUCCUGGUGUAGCGGUGAAAUGCGUAGAUAUCAGGAGGAACACCGGUGGCGAAGGCGGCUUCCUGGACAGAAACUGACGCUGAGGCGCGAAAGCUAGGGGAGCAAACAGGAUUAGAUACCCUGGUAGUCCUAGCCCUAAACGAUGGAUACUUGCUGUGACUGGGAUUGAAUCCAGUCGUGGCGAAGCUAACGCAUUAAGUAUCCCGCCUGGGGAGUACGGUCGCAAGGCUGAA